rnacentral:rRNA from 1 species
CGUUCCCGGGCCUUGUACACACCGCCCGUCACACCACGAAAGUUGGCAAUACCCGAAGCCGGUGGGCUAACCCCUCGGGGAGGCAGCCGUCUAAGGUAGGGUUGAUGAUUGGGGUG